UACGGGGGGGGGCAAGUGUUGUUCGGAAUUACUGGGCGUAAAGGGCUCGUAGGCGGCCAACUAAGUCAGACGUGAAAUCCCCAGGCUCAACCUGGGAACUGCGUCUGAUACUGGAUGGCUUGAAUCCGGGAGAGGGAUGCAGAAUUCCAGGUGUAGCGGUGAAAUGCGUAGAUAUCUGGAGGAAUACCGGUGGCGAAGGCGGCAUCCUGGACCGGCAUUGACGCUGAGGAGCGAAAGCCAGGGGAGCAAACGGG
rnacentral:rRNA from 1 species